GCUCACUGGACUGCAACUGACACUGAUGCUCGAAAGUGUGGGUAUCAAACAGGAUUAGAUACCCUGGUAGUCCACACAGUAAACGAUGAAUACUCGCUGUUUGCGAUACACGGUAAGCGGCCAAGCGAAAGCGUUAAGUAUUCCACCUGGGGAGUACGCCGGCAACGGUGAAACUCAAAGGAAUUGACGGGGGCCCGCACAAGCGGAGGAACAUGUGGUUUAAUUCGAUGAUACGCGAGGAACCUUACCCGGGCUUAAAUUGCAUUUGAAUAAUCAAGAAAUUGGUUAGCCGCAAGGCAAAUGUGAAGGUGCUGCAUGGUUGUCGUCAGCUCGUGCCGUGAGGUGUCGGCUUAAGUGCCAUAACGAGCGCAACCCUUAUCUUCAGUUACUAACAGGUUAUGCUGAGGACUCUGGAGAGACUGCCGUCGUAAGAUGUGAGGAAGGUGGGGAUGACGUCAAAUCAGCACGGCCCUUACGUCCGGGGCUACACACGUGUUACAAUGGGGGGUACAGAAGGCAGCUACACGGCGACGUGAUGCCAAUCCCGAAAACCUCUCUCAGUUCGGAUCGAAGUCUGCAACCCGACUUCGUGAAGCUGGAUUCGCUAGUAAUCGCGCAUCAGCCAUGGCGCGGUGAAUACGUUCCCGGGCCUUGUACACACCGCCCGUCAAGCCAUGAAAGCCGGGGGUACCUGAAGUACGUAACCGCGAGGAGCGUCCUAGGGUAAAACUGGUAAUUGGGGCUAAGUCGUAACAAGGUAGCCGUACCGGAAGGUGCGGCUG
rnacentral:rRNA from 1 species